rnacentral:rRNA from 1 species
AGCGAACGUUUGCGGCGGGCCUAACACAUGCAAGUCGAACGCACUAGCAAUAGUGAGUGGCGCACGGGUGCGUAACACGUGGGUAAUCAACCCUUCAGCCUUGGGAUAACGGACUCGAAAGGGUCGCUAAUACCGGAUACGGCGCGAGAGGGCUUUCGGCUUCUCACGAGAAAGCCACGCAAGGGGCACUGAAGGACGAGCCUGCGGCCCAUCAGCUAGUUGGUGAGGGUAAGAGCUCACCAAGGCUAAGACGGGUAGCUGGUCUGAGAGGAUGAUCAGCCACACUGGAACUGAGACACGGUCCAGACUCCUACGGGAGGCAGCAGU